UACAGAGGUCCCAAGCGUUGUUCGGAUUUACUGGGCGUAAAGGGUGCGUAGGCGGUCGGGUAAGUCUGAUGUGAAAUCUCACAGCUUAACUGUGAAACUGCAUUGGAUACUAUCCGGCUCGAGGAAUGGAGGGGAGACUGGAAUACUUGGUGUAGCAGUGAAAUGCGUAGAUAUCAAGUGGAACACCAGUGGCGAAGGCGAGUCUCUGGACAUUUCCUGACGCUGAGGCACGAAAGCCAGGGGAGCAAACGGG
rnacentral:rRNA from 1 species